rnacentral:rRNA from 1 species
CCCUUAGAUGUUCUGGGCUGCACGCGCGCUACACUGACGUACGCAACGAGUGUCCUUUACCGAGAGGUAUGGGUAAUCAUUUGAGUGUACGUCGUGAUAGGGAUAGACUAUUGCAAUUAUUGGUCUUCAACGAGGAAUUCCUAGUAGACGUAGUUCAUCAGACUGCAUCGAUUACGUCCCUGCCCUUUGUACACACCGCCCGUCGCUCCUACCGAUUGAAUGCUCAGGUGAGCCAUUCGGACUUUCAUCAUGCUGGUUUCCAGUUUUGAUGAAGGAAAGUCUUGCGAACCUUAUCAUUUAGAGGAAGGAGAAGUCGUAACA